UUUCUCUUUCUAGAGCUGGUGAGAGAGUGGUCGUUCAAAUCCUGACAAACUAUCGCAAUGUUCCCUUUUAAAGCACCUGAAUCCUGAAAACUCUUUUCUUAAUAUCUUUUGCAAAGACUGACUCACCACAUCAUUUUUUUCUAGACACUCACCUACUGCCCCAUGAAAGACUAGUACCGUUACAUGUGUCGACUCACCUUCUCCCCUCUGAGGUUCGUGACGCCUCUGAGGAGUAGGUAGCAUACCGUUAGGGUUACAAGAAAACCGGGCUCUAAUACUAGUUGUCAAACCCCACCCUAGGAGUCCCAGUCAAACCACUAGUUCAACCGAUGAGUCUUACUCAGUUUUUAACUUGAACCACACUCAACUCUAGGCUACUAAUAAAAACAUUAAGACAAGCAUUAACAGCUUAAACUGAACACUUCAAUAAAAUUGACAAACUAGGAUCCGAAAUCCCAAAACACAACAAAUCAAAAAGAGAUGCAACUCCAGUUUAAAAAUACAUAAAAAUUAUAUCCUCUAAUAUAUAAAAACCAACCAGCUUUCUCCCCUCCAUCAGCUCCAAUACCUGUGACUGAACACAUAGAUAUGCCAAGAAAAACAAGUCUAAUGGGGUUAGUGAUAACCAUUGAGUGGCUAAACUAGGCUCGCAUAAAACUGCAACUAUACUAAGAAAAUAGGGCAAGAAUCAAGUAAUGUGACUCUGCGGUCCUGUAGGGAUCAUCCUAUCAAUAGUCACCCCUAACUAGUAGCUGAUAGCCUCAUGAAGGAUCAUACCAUGAAACCACCCGUUGAUACCGUGUGAGCAGCAUCUGUACGCAUACUCCACACAUCUUGCAUGACCGUAGAAACAUCCUGGGGGAUUUUGCAAUCCAUGGGUGGGUGACCAACACACAUAAGGAGCUAAUCUAGCUAAAUCUGAAUUUUGUCCUAAGCAUGAACUGUGAACCACAGUUCAAAUGUCAUGAGCUUAUGCUCGAACUUAAACAACUACCUGUUCAGUAGAUCACACGCUACUGCACAGUGUAUGAGCCCGACUCUGUUUCAUAACCCAUGUAUAGUAGAUGACACGCUAUUGCACAGUCUUGAGAGCCCGGCUCCGAAACACAACACAUGUACCGUAGAUCACACGCUACUGUACAGUCCUGAGAAUCCGAUCAUCGCAUUCCUGACAAUCCUAAUUACAGUUAUAUGCUUAAGUCAAAAAGUAAUCCUAACCCUCACCUAUUAAGAAGGGAUGGCAUUUCUGAUUCUCACUUGACAUGAUUCCUCUCACUGCCACUAAUCUAUAGCUUCUGACCGUGCAUCAUUUGGAGUUUAACCAAUUGAGUUAUACUCCAUUUACUUGUAGCAAUCUGAAACUUGCUAGGACAGAAACGUGGCGCUAAUCCUCCAACUGCCUCCAUUACACUAACUGAUCCAAAACUUCUACUCAUUGACAAAACUAACCCAAGUCCUUAACUAUAAAACAUCCAAAAGUUCAAAGUUGCUAAAGGUCCUCAACGCGUCCUACACACCACCAAAGCCGUUGCACCCUUGCCGAACGCGGAUGGCGCCACCGCUACUGCUAUUCCUAAAGCUCCGCCUUGAAUCUCCUCAAUCUCCUCCGAAAUAGUGAUCGGCACCGCCACAACUCCAUCCUCGUUUGCCCUCGAUCGAUGGAAUUCAAAAUCCUCACCUCUUGGCGUCAAAACUAAUGGCAACAAGUAACUUACCCUGCUCAUCGUCUCAGUGCAUCACCAGUUAGAUCAUGGAAGGGAAGUUAAACCAUUCUCCCACUUGAUGGUAAUGGGGCCCAACUCCACAAUCUGAUCCAUCAUACGGCCCAAGGCCCACCUCAACUUUAAUUGGACUCAAGGCCAUAAUUUAAGCCUAGGGUGGCAGUCCUCACCCUUCACUUGAAUGGUUCAAGUCCUAUCCAGAGCUAUAAAAUCAAUCUAACGGUCUAGAAAUCUUCGAGUUCAUAACUAACAAUUCACAGGCUUAACCCCUCUUCUGAUGGACUUAGUCAACCCAAUAACUAUCUCGAGCCUUACAAAUCUUUAAUACUUGGUCAAUUGCUGAGUCAACUCAUCAAAUUAAUUAAAUUAAUUCAUUUUUCAACUUCCGACUUCUACUCAACGAGUAAGUUUUGAAUCAAAAAAAAUUUUAACCGAACCAAAAAUUGAGGUGUCACAAUUGUCUACAGUAUGCUUAGCUUAUACAUGUGAUGGUUAGACAGUUAUGUUCAUGUUUCUACUUGAUGAUGUGAAAUUCAUUAAACUAAGAUAAGUUGUUAAACUAUAAUAAGUCCUUAAAUUAUGAUAAGUCAUGUUCAUGAGAUCCAUGUUAUGGCAUGUCUUUUUUCCAGGAUUAAUGCUCCCAUUAUGUCCAUCAUAUUCAUGUUACGGUUAGGUAGUUAUGUCAUGUUAUGUAUUAUUUAAUGAUGUGCAAGUUGUACCCUCGAAUUAUGAUAAGUCAUGUCAUGUCUCCCUGAUAAGGGUUUAUCUCAUUUUCAUGUGAUCCAUGUUAUGGUUAAGUGGUUAUGUCAUGAUAUGUUGGGUUAUUACAUGAUGAUGUGCAAGAUGUGCCUUGAAUUAUGAUAAGGCUAGACUACUUCAAGGUUAGGGUGUGAUAUGUCUACAUGACUAGUGAGUAGUGAAUAAGUACACGUUACUUAGACAAGUAAUGUGUAUUAGAAACAUGUAACUUUCUGGCUAGACCACCACCCCCUAUGUUGUGAUCUCAUGGUACCGUCUGAUGGAUACAUACUCACGGACUCUCACGUUCACGUUUGGGCCGGUAUUGCCCCUCAUGUUACCGUCUGACUGAUACGUACUCGCAGACUCUCACGUUCAUAUUUGGGCUGAUAUUGCCCCAUGUUUCUCACGUUUGGGCCACAUUUUUCCCCUUAUGUUACCGUCUGAUGGAUACAUAGUCCCAAACUCUCACGUUCACAUUUGGGUGUUGGACUAGUUAGUUGAGUUGGGGGGGGACGUCCCGCUAUUGAAAGUUCAAGUGAUAAGAUACCUCAGAUAAGUUCAUGUACAAGUAUGUCAAGUUCAAGGGAUAAGAUAACUUAGAUAAGAUCAAGUAUAAGAUUCAAUGUUAUGUGUUUUCAUGUUCGCUAAGUGAUGUUGGUGAUAAUGACCACCUGAUAUGAUAUGUUCAGUGAUUGUCAUGUGCUGAUGUGUUGUGAUAUGUUCAAAUGUUUCUUAGAUGUGAUAACUAUGUGUUGGGAUAAAUAUUCAUGUAAUGAUGUGUUCCUUAUGUUCCAAUGUGCCAUGGAUUUGAUGACUAGUUGUGAUCAAUAUUCAUGCAGUGAUGUGUUCCUUAUGUUCCAAUGUUCCUUUAGAAUGGAUUAGAGGUUCAACCUUUGAUGAUGACUAUGUUACUUGCCAUGUUGAGUUCUCAUGUGUUAGGAUUACACAAAGAUGGAUACUAUAUCUUAUAUGCCUACUUAGCUAGUAUCAAUGAUGCCUUAUACAAUGAUAUGUUUUUGUCUUCCCUAUGUUCUAGCAUGAUACUCAUGUUAUGUGUCUACAUAACUAAGUCAGAAUAUGUUGUGGUUAGAUAACUAGAAAGCAUGUCCCUAAGUAAAGGCAAUGUUUGAAUAUAGCAAUGUCUGAUUAAGGUGAUGUCUGAAUAAGGUAAUGUCUGAUUAAGAUGAUGUCUGAAUAGUUUGAUGUCUGGAUGAGUUGAUGUUUGAAUAAUUUUGAUAUUGUUAAACUUAAGUUGGAAAUCAUAUGUGUUAUAUUAGAGCAUAAUAGACUAACCCCAGAACCACCCACUAGGGUGUUUCUAAGUUGAUGCAGUAGUAGAGUUGAGCUGAUUCGGAUGUGCAGCGAUGGACUUGGUAUUCAAUGUCGGGUUUGAGUUUCAAGUGUUUAUUCUGAGACUUGAUUCUUUUCAUGUUGUCUUAUGUUGGAGCACUCUCCGCUUUUGUUAAAGCAGAUGAUCAUUUUCUAUCUUUUUGGUUGUUCUAUUUAAAUAAAGUUUUUGAAAUUCCUUUGAGUUGAGUCCCUAUAGGGCAAUUUGGUUAUUAAAUAAAUAGAAAGUUUUUGGGGUGUGUCACAAGCGCCCGCGACAAAGAGUAAAACCUGCGACCAUUGUAUGAGCGCUAAUGGAUUUAUUCAAACGUUGUCGCAGUCCGCCUAAAACAAGAGCUCGACUGCGAUAAACAUAGUGAAUGACUACCCUUCAGCAGCCGAUCUCCACUCAUUCCACACAGCUUCAACUCUCCUCCCAUCUGAAAUCCUCCUAUUCCUCUCAAUUUCCUCCAUCGAUUUUCUCCUCUUCUCUUCUCCAAUUUUGUCACCCCGACUUCCACCCUUUUCUCGAAAUCGCCAAUAUCAGCUUACUGUUACUAACAAGAAGCAUAAGAGUUCGAUUUUGAUAUAGUUGUGUCGGGCAAUCGCAUUGUGUUUGAGUUGAAGAAUCAGGGGGUUAAACCUGUAGGUCCACUUCAUUCCUUCAUGGGAUACUACAUAAGUGAGUGUACAAGAAAUUAUGCUUACUACCCGGUCUCUCCAAUCGAAUGGAAGAAGUUGUCGCCCCAAUUGAAGACACGGGCUUGGGAGCAGUUUGUGCUAGUAAGUAUUAUUUUAGUUUUUUUAAUUAGAUAUAUUUUUGUAGUUAAAAUUGUAACUAGUUAGUGCUUAAUUGAUUUAUAUUAUAAACCUCUUUUCACAUUGAGGCGAAUGAGAUGGUUGAAGCUCGCAAAUAUUGGGAUCGCAAUGUUGGAAGACUGUUGGGGGAAGUCAAGGAUCACAAUUUGGCAAGCUUAGUUGAAGCAUGCACAAAUAAACCAACUCCCUCCAUAGUGGAUUAUGAAUAAUUCCUUGACAGGUUGUCCAAUGGCUGAUUGGAUAACGUACUUGUUGCGAGUUAACGACAAGUAGUUCGAGAUAGUACAUAUAUUUACAGAUUUCUAAUUGUAUUUGAUUGUAGUUUUUAAUACCGACUCAAGAACUUUUAUGUGCUUGAGUCAUAUCAAAUCAAGCCGCUCAAAUGGAAAACCAUAAAGGAGGGAGAAGGCCAUGUGAUACAUAUGUCAAGGAAACCAUUGAGAAGAUGGGUAAGCCACCUUCUCUACGCCAGAAGUUCAUAAAGUUCUUCCACUAACUAGAUGGAAGUUACAAAUCAGAACAUGGAAUACUUGUGGUGGUAAUGACUAGUUUCCAUAUAUAUAAUAGAUAUAGCUUUAAACUAGAAGACAAUAGAAUUAAUUGAACAUCUGUUAUGUAGGAGACUAUCAGCAACUAGAGCGGGAAGGAGCACCGACUGAGGUUGGGCCUAAUGACUCAUUGGCUCAAACACUAAACAAGCCAAAGCAUCGAGGCCACGUUCGGAUGAUGAGUUUGGGGUUUACCCCACAAUGGUAAUAAUGUUCAAUUUCAAAUUUGUUCUUUCUUGGGUCGUUAGUGUUUGUACCUUGUUUGGUGAUAUUUGUACUGUUUUUUCUUUAAGGUAUUUGGUGGUGCUAGCACUUGUUCAUCAUCAUCAUCAGCUCCUUCUGCCUCUGGGAAUGCAAGUGUGUCCUCAAAUGCUGCUCCUAGUGCUCCCCCUCCCUUACGAGAAGAGUUUGAUUGGAUGUCGUAGCAGAUGGCAUUGAUGUUGCAACAGUUGGCUACAAUGUAUUACAUGAUGUCGUCGGAGCUCGCCGGUGCUUUUACCUAAGUUUUGACUCCUGGGAUAGUUCCUGGUACUCCAUUCAAUCCAAGUCCUCUAUAUCUGUAUUAGGAGCCUAUGCAGCAGCAACAACCAUCUCAACAAUAGCAACAAGCUCAUGAGACCAAUCUUAUGGGUUACUUCCCAUUCUCUCAAGAAGCCAAAAAUCAGUUUCGCCUUCAUGGGAUGAUGGCGAAGCCUUUUCUUCCCUUCUUCAUACAUUAGAAAGAGUGAGUUUUAUAAUUAGUUUCUUGAAAUUUCAAUUAGAAUUCAUGUUUGUACUUACUUGUGUUUUUUAUGUUUAUAUAUAGGUCCCCAUUCCAGACACGAGGGAGCAACGAGAUGAUGAUGAUUGUUCGUAGUUGUAUUUCUAGUUAGUUCUAGCUCUCUCCCCAUCCCUAUUCCCAUAUAUUAUGUAGUAUUUGAAACUUCUAAGAUAGUUUCUUAAGAUAAUUUCUUAACGUUUGCAUAUUAAUGUUUGUUAUUGUAGUUUGGAAUUAUUACAUGAGAUGGUAAUUAUGGAAUUAUUAUGUGUUAUUAUGGAAACCUAAAAACUGCUCUAAAUUCUAAAAUUCUGCUCUAAAUUCUAGAACAUUGAAAAAGCUCUAUAACUGCAAAGGUAGAUCAAUUUGAAAGUGAUAGGUGGCACCAUACCAGAAUAGACACAUCUCCAGCAUUAUUGUAAUAGGCUAGUCGCAGGCCCUUUCUCGCAAGUGUUGACUACGAUUGGCCGGUCACUGGUAGCGCCUGUGAUAAAGCGCCUACAACCAGCCAAUCGCAGCCAACGGCUACGACAAGGCGAGCUUUGUCACAUCAAUAAUUGUCGCAUGCCUAUUUCUAUUUGUCGCAUGCACUGUAUGUAACCAUCCUUCUAUUUUAUGGCAGGCUGGCCUGCGACAUUGUUUUGUUUUUGCUUGUGACUGUUUUCCCUUUUUAUUGCAGUGUAAGUUAUACACUUUCAUGCAUUAUUACGUGUUGAAGAUGGAUUCUAACGUGAUUUUGAAAGCUCCUAGACCGAAACGAGUGACCAUUUAGUUUGAUUCUUUUAGUAAUGUGUAAAUGAAAAGUCUACAUGCUAAAUAUAAAUUCAUAAAUUUGUUCUCAAUAAUAAAAAGUUUACUAGUUAAGAAUAGUUGAAAUAUUGAUGGACGAUGUUAAGUUCAUCCUUCCAUAAAUUUAAUUCACAAACUUAAAAUGAUUCGUAAGUGAAAUGUUAGUAUUAAGACGUUCACAGAUGAAAACAACAAAGAUUGAACAUCAAACUGUAAAGAUAAAAAUAAACUGUAUCUCAUAUUAUUUGGAAUUAAGNNNNNNNNNNNNNNNNNNNNNNNNNNNNNNNNNNNNNNNNNNNNNNNNNNNNNNNNNNNNNNNNNNNNNNNNNNNNNNNNNNNNNNNNNNNNNNNNNNNNNNNNNNNNNNNNNNNNNNNNNNNNNNNNNNNNNNNNNNNNNNNNNNNNNNNNNNNNNNNNNNNNNNUAAUAUAAUACUCAUAAGUGGACAUAACAUAGACAUAAUCCACCUAUAAAGUGGACACAAUGAUUAUAUAUAUAAUUUUAUCAUAAUAUGAACAUAACAGUGACAUAAUUUACUUAUAAAUGUAACAUAAUAGUGAAUUAACAUACUCAUAAGGUGAAUAUAAUAGGGACAUAAAAUGUUCGUAAACCAAGCCUAAAAGAUGCCUAAUAAACUUAUAACUUAGACAUAACAUAGGCAUAAAAGAAUUGCAGUAGUACUGAUAUUUAGGUUAUGUAGCAUAAUAGCCUAAAACAAGUGGUCUACUCAAAACACUAAAAAUUGAUAUAUAAUCGUAAUAUAAUUGUUCUAUGACAGUUAUCCGUUAUUAACAUAGAAGUUGUACAAACAUAUUGUGACACCUUGAUUUUGGGUUGAGUAUGAUUCUAGGAUAGUAUUGGUUUUUGUGAGUCGGUGAGAAUCACUGUCAGACGGUCCGUCACGGGCGUAUCGGACAGUCUCUCAUAGGCGUGAUCAUCAGGUAGAUCAUGAUCGUGGUCAAUGAUAGUCACGAACGUGGCAGCCGGAGGAUGACGGCCGUGACCAUCAGUAGGUCAUGGACGUGGUUUCCAUGUCACAACGGGUGAGGUAAGCAGUACGCCAUGGGUGUGGUGGACAACUUAUGAAACCUAAUUUUCUUCUUCCUUGCAAACUUCUGACGAGCGACGAUUGUUCCAGGCACAGGGGAAAGUCUUGUUGAUCGAUCCAGACCAGUAGGAGAGGCCUAGAGAUCAUCGAGGAAGCUUUAGGAGGUAAUCUACCUUCUUCCUCGUUCGUCAAUCCUUUUCUUUGAAUCCCAUGUAGGAAAAUCCUGACAGGUUUGGAUUUGGAGUUUUGGGAUUUCAAUUUUAUGAUUGUUCCCUUCAGGUUAUAUGGAUUAGGCAAGCAAACUCUAGGUUUCAGAUCAUACUCUUCAGAGGAAAGCUUUCAGAGGUAGGGGUUAGGAUUACUUUUCUGCUUUAUGCGAAGAAUUGUAAUUAGUUGUCAGGAAUCCUUGUUUGGAUUUUCAGAAUUGUACAAUAGUGUGCGAUCUACUGUAUAGAAAGAUUUGUUAUGCAGUUUAGAGUUUCGGGUUGUACAAUAGCGUGUGAUCUACUGCAUAGGCAGAUGGUUAUGAUUCGAGCAUAAGCUCACAACGAGAAACUAUGCAUUUAUACAGUUCAUGUUAGGAUUAAGAAUCAGAACUAGAAUAUACUAGCUCACGAUAUACGUUGGUCACCCACCCUAUAGAUUGUGCGAUCCCCGAGGCUACAUUUACUUUCAGGUAGGACUUGACGAUAAUGCCUUCAGUUGCUGCUCUCACGGUCUGAUCCACCAUGAGGUCAUCCGCUCAUAGCUAGGGGUGGCUAAUGUUAGGAUAAUACCUAGAGGACCACAUGGUCACAUUACUAGAUACUAGUUCAGUUUUUCAUGUUCAGGGUCAGCUGCUCAGUGCUUAUCACUGACCUUGUUACAUUUCAUUAUACAUGAUCAACCUUGGGACUUCAGGAGCCAAUGCCGCUUAAGAAAGGAGCAUGAGUAGUGACACCACCUCGCAGUGAGUCUGGGAGUCACACAGAGAGGUACCAUCGAGUACCUCAGCUGUCUCUUUCAGUGUUUUCAUAGUUUUAAGACAGUCUUUCAUGUUUUUUCAGUUGUUUGUGAGACUUAUUUUACAGUGGUUGUUUUCCCAGGUUUGGGAUGUCUUUUAGUGAUGUUCAUUUUUGAAUUCGAGCCAUGAUGCUCUGUUUAUUUUUUGCUGUCGUUUUACUUAAGUAUUGAGGAUUUUCAGUUCAGUUAAUGUAUGUCAGUUGUUAUGAUAUAAGUUUGAGUGAACCCAUGAGCAAUGCAUGGAUAGAACCGUGUGGUUUGAUCGAGUCAUCUAGGGGUGGGUUUCACACAUAUUAGUUAUAUUAUGUGACAUUAUAAUAAAUAAUAAAGGGAAUAUUGUCAUUUACCCUCUUUUACUUCACCCAACUCGCAUUAAGCCCUCUAUACAAUUCAAUGUUCCAUUAACCCCUACACAUUGCCCACUUUACCAUUCGUCUCCUUCCGUUACGCUUUCCAUAUGUACACCGUUAAAACCAUACAACUCAACAUGCCAUGUAAGUUUUUCGGCACCACAUCAGCGUUUAAUUCCUUUAACAAUUCAUGAAAUAUAAAAAAUUCCAGACACCCUUCUUUCUUCACUCUUCUCCACUCGACCCCCAACCUUUCUCACAUCCGAUGCAGCCGAACUUCGCCCCGAGGGUGAACACAAGGAGAGGAGGGUUGCUAGAUUUUGGGUGUUGUUUUUGCACUCAAAUCCGAUUCAAAAGAAAUAUUGGCCACACUGGAAAAAAGUUAUGGUUUGAUCAUCCUCUAAACAUUCGUAGCAGUGUAAUUCAAGGUCUUAAAUUGGCUACCACUACCAAUUGGAAAGUGAGCAAGCCAAUUUGUAGCGAACACCAAGUGUUCAACAAAAUUCUUAGAUGCUAAAAGACUCUUACUGGCAUCACAAACACUUGACAAGGGUGCUAAGUCACUAUUUGACACCCCCUAACAUUCCAAUCACCUAAAUUGUCACUACCUAAGUGAUUACCAAAAUGCACUCAAGGUGUUAGAUAAAAUGCCACUAAGAGAAUCCUCACACUAAUGGUUGAAUUGGGGUGUGUGCUUGGUCCACACACCCUUACCCCAAUCUUGGACUACACACUUACUCAAGUCAAGCACAAUUAAGUAAUUGAAAGAGUACAUUUGACCUAGAACAAGCCAUAGCACAUUCUAAGUUGCAAUAACCAUAGUCCAACCAUUCUCAAAUACCAUAAUCCAUAUCUAACAUGUAUCCAAAUCCUCGUCAUGAGGGGAUCAUCCUAGUACAUAGCAAUACCCUAAUCUAACAACUAAAGAGUCUAGCCACUCAUCAUGACACUAAAACUAAAGAAAAGGGAUACAAUCACCAUCAAUCAACUAGUAUGAAGAAGAUGAUGAGGGUAGGAUCCUUCCUCAAAGCUCUACUAUUCCAAUUCCUUCAAUCCUUGGUCUUCUCUAGCUCCGAAGCUUCUUCAAGGUCUUCAAUUGAUCUUCUAAGGCUUCAAAUUGGGUGAAAAUCGAGAGAGGAGUCGGGUCUCAACAAUUGUUAUGACUGUAGUGUGAAUUGUUCGUCCAAUCUCCAUGGACCAUAUGCCAUGUGGACCAACACGGGCUCCAGAUGCCAUGUGGCCUAAUUUCCAGCUUAGGACUUUGUUCUUUGAUCGCACAUAUCUCCCUCGUCCGACCUCCGUUUGAGCUCUGGUUGGUCUCAUUGGAAUUUUCUCGUUGUUCUUUAUGCAUCGGAUACCUACAGCCUCAUAUAUACAAUGAGAAACGAGGUCGAACGGACCAAAAUGAUCCAUUUGACAAAAUGAAACAAGAACCCCUUUUUUUCUUCCAACCAAUCACAAAGGAGGGUCAAAACUAGGUCAAACAAGGUAAAAAACAGUCAAGAUGUGGUCAAAUUGGCAACAAAUAAUCGUGCUAUCACAUCCCCCCACACUUGAACGUUGCUUUUCCUCAAGCAAAUCUACUAAUCACACUCAAAGAGAACUCGAAACAGGGUGAAAAGAAAAUAUUUCCUAGCAUUUCAAGCCUAUUUCACGAUGCCAAGAUUGCAAGUCAAUCACCAAACCACUCAAUUAUGUAUAAGACAUUGAAUCCCUUAAAAAAUUUCACACCAAACUCUAAUAUAUAGAUAUUAUGAUUAGAUACCUAAACAAGCGAAUGUACUAAAGUUUCUCCAAUGCACUUAUGUCAUAUGGUACUAGCGGAAGAAAUGGACAGACAGACGGUCCUGGCUGGGUAUUUUUCCCGUCUUGAGGGAGGGGAUGCCUGAUCUAACAUAAACAUAACUAUCACCAAGUAUACUAGCAUCUCCCUCUUCUUUUACUCUACUUUGCUUUCUUUUGUAUUUAGUUUUCAACUAUCUUUUCUCCCUCUUUUUUUUCACAUGGAUGCUUUUUCCAAAUGAGGUGGUUGUGAUUCCAAUUAGGCUCAGAUCCGGUGAAUACCGGGCACCAGUACCGCAAUCCACACAUCGAAGGGUUGAGAAGAGGAGCCCGAGGUGUUGAGCAUACGAGUGGCAGAUCGAAAUCUACCUUGCGUGUUUGAAUCACAACCUUCCUCCAUAUCAUUCUUAAGCACAUUGGCCUCCUGUCCAUUUUGACUUCAUAAUACCAUAGACAAGUUCAAAAAGGAGAAUCAAUCAUACAUAUCGAGCAAGUAAAGGUGAAAACUCAAAACAUCCAUAUGUGCGAGUUUGAAGCAAACUAAUUUCAGGAAAAUGGGAGGUAGUCCACAAAUGAUUACUCAACAACCUAUUCGUCCUCAAGUAGUAUGAAUAAACUAGGUAUGCAUCCAAAGAGAUUCACAUAUUCAAAUUUGAGAGGGAGUAUCAAAAUUCAAGAGCAAGUCAGAAAAAAUGCUACCAAGAUAUGCACAAAAAUUCUCAAACCCGAAUAGUAUAAAAAAAUCCUCCCCCCCCCCACACUUGUACAACACAUUGUCCUCAAUGUGAAAAGAUAUAAGGGGAAGAGGGGUACCAAACGGGGGUGAGGAGUGAAGCCGGAUGAGAAGAUGAAGGAUCAAGAUCGAGUACCUAGAGUUUCACAAAAGGCAAGAACAAAAAAAAAACAAAAAAAAAACGCAGAAACAAACACGAAUAAUGGUCGAGUCAAGAGAAAAGAAGAUAUCUCAAGGCCGUCGAGGAGCUGUCUCAACAAGAAUCCAAUCCACUUAGGCAAGAGUAUACAAGAAUGUGCACAAGUAGAUAUGGAAGAGGCAAGAUGCAUAAGAUAUGCAUAACCAAUAAAGAAGAUAACUAGUUAUUCUCAACCAAGACUAACUAGCAAUCCUAAACAAGAGCAUCCUAUAAUCCAUAAAUGAGUAAGACAAGGGUGAGAAAAAGCUAUGGAACCAUCUCAACUCAUUUAGAAUCAAUUCCAGAAAGUUAUCAUCACAAACGUGUACCAAGUCCAAUCAACAAGAAUGAGCAUAAAGAGUGUAUGCAAAGCAUCAAGUGAACAAAGUAUGCAUCAUUCAACUAUAAUCAAUUUGAGAGCUCAAUGGACUACUAGUAUGCAUCAUUCUUCUUUGACUCAUUAACCAAAACAAUGAGCACAUAUGGAUAAUCAAAAGUAGUGGCAUGAUCAAAAUUCAAGCAUUAGAAGCAAUGAGCAAAGUCACAAUCAUCAAUUCAAUAAUUGGACGCAUCAAAUUCACCUAGCAACAACCUAGGUUCAACCAUACAAGGGAGCACAAAGAUGCAAUUCCAAAUUCUCAUCGCAAGAAUUCAACAACCCACAUAAUUCUUGUUCAAAAAUAUCAUAUUGGCAAAGCUAGACAUUCAAGUAGGCACAACCAUCUGAAACUGGCAAUUGCAAUGUUCAAAUUAGCACAAAAGCAUCAUUUGACCAAAUUUGACCACAAUUCAAACUUUCCACACACUCCAUCAAUCAAACCAGAGCAAACAGAACACAGACGACACAGAUUCAGGCCACAUCAUCAACCAAAAAGUCGUAGGCAGUCAAACGAGCUUUCCAACGCCGCUGGUCUUGCGAAAAACAAACGCUCGAGCAAGAAGUUAUGCUCAAAAUACCGAACCACAGCAUUUUUUCGCACAAGGCGACCAAUCAACGGAGGGUCAACGUCCGGUGAACCGGUCUGGUCAAACUCAGGUUGGUUCGGUUUGAAAAUCGGUUAAACAAUGCACCCCCUUCUUUGAAUAGUGCAUCUUGGCACAUUUUUAACACAAUCGAGCACGUUUCGGAGCUGGAAAUUCAAGUUUUUUUUUAGAAAACCCAUUGGAACUGUAGAUUUUGCAUAAAAAGUACGCUUUAGCCUUUUGUUUCCAAAAUCAAGCAAAUUUUAGGAUCUGAAAGUUCAAUUUUUUCAGAAAACCCGUAGGAAGUGUAGAUUUUUCAUAAAAGUAAGUCUGAGCAUAUUUUUUAGUAAAACAACCAUUUUUUAGCUCUCGAAAAUAUAAAAAUUUCAAGACUGCUUUUUUUCUUUUUCCUAAUGCAACGAAACUUCCUGCUAGCCUUAGGCACACUAAGAUAAGAUCAAGCAAAUCUCCAAACACUCGUUCUCUCGUCCCGGUCAUCACAAGAACACAAGAAACAAAAACACAAACAAAACACGACAAACACACAAUCAUGCAAGUUUUAUUCAAUUUUCCUACUCCUAAGCUACACUAUUCAUGACGAGACACCUAUGGUAUCACCAACUUGGUAAUGUUCAAGAUGCAUCCCACAAAGUAGAAGAGGGUCAAGAUGAGUAGAGGAGGUUACCUCGAUCUUGGAAGGAACGAACUUUUGUUACCAUAAAGGGGCCGGAGAUGAGGACUCUAUCGCCCUCUUUGAGUGCUUGUUUGGUGGGGAGGUGCAAAUCAUGGAGUUGCUUGAUCGCUUUCUUGCAACUCCCAUCCUUGACCUUGUGGACACUUUUUUGGUGAGAAGAAGGAUUCUUGGGCUCAAGGUCUGGUGGUUCUUCAUGCAUGUUCCUCGCCUUAGCAUGCACUCCCUUGAUCGAGAUAGCUUCGGUUUCCUUAUUAUACUAUUUCACACACUCGCUCAAGGAUGGAUCCAAGGCUUCAUGAUGAAGAGAUACAUUAAUAGCAUAAACUAAAGCCAUUUCAACGGGCUCGCCAAUAUCAUUAUCAUCUUGAGGAUCCGGGUGCUCCAUACCCCCGAUCAAUUGAAAUGUGGCUUCCUUUUGACCCACUCUCAAGGUAAGCUUACCCUCAAACACAUCUAUGAUUUCCUUCGACGUGUUGAGAAAUGGACGACCCAAAAUCAAUGAAACGUCGGUGUCUCCGGUGUCAAUCACAACAAAAUCCACCGGAAACAUGAACCUUCCAACAUGCAUAAUAACAUCUUCAACUACACCACUAAGCAAUUUUGUAGUUUUUUCCGCUAGUUGGAUGCACAUCUUAGUUGUUGUAAGUUGACCUAGGCCUAGUUUCUUGUACAAUGAAUAUGUCAUGACAUAUAUACUAGCACCUAGAUCUGCUAAACCUCUUUCAAUCACAACUUGACUAAUCAUGGAAGGGAGAAAGAAACUACCCAGAUCUUUGCGUUUGCAAGGGAGGUCCCUUGAGAGGAUUGUCGAGCAUUGCUCAUUGAGAUUGAUGUUGGAAGCUUCUAUGAGCCUUCGCUUGUUGGUGAAGAUCUCCCUUAGGAACUUGGCGUAUUGAGGCAUCCUUUCGAUUGCCUCGACGAAAAGAACGGUGAAGUUCAUAUUGCAAAGUCGAAGCACAAGUUGCUUUAAGCUCUUCUCGAGAAGAUCCUUAUCCAAUUGGUUGGGAUAAGGUGGCUUAGGGUUGUAUGGAGCCGACUGGGGCUAGGAGAUAGGAGAAGCCUCAGUUGAACUCUUCGUAGCCUUCUUGGAACCAACUUCAGUUGACACCUUUGGCUUUCCAUUACUCUUUGGAGCUUUCGGAACUAAUGCAUGCGGAACCGGUGCACUUUCUUCGACCAUCACUUCAUUCUCUUAAUCACUAGAUGCUUCAUUUUUCAUUAACAUCUUUCACAAGAAAUUCAUUAUCAUGCACAAGCUUGCUAGGUACAUCGAUAGGAGGAUCGAUUAAAUUUAGGAGUUGUGGACACAUAGUGUCUCAUGCUCCUAGUUGUGAUAGAUCCACAAGUUUCCUUGCUCUUUGGAUUGGUUAUGAUAUUUCUAGGUAGAGUGCACGGUUGCCGACUUGAAAGAGCGUGUGUGAGGUAUCCAACUUGAUUCUUAAGAUCCACCAUUUGAGCUUGAGUUGAGGCAUUGUGGGUGUCUUGAAAUGCUCUUUGCUCUUGAGUCACCUUGUUGUGCUCUUGGAAGAACUUAGCUUGAUUCUCAAUCAUUUGGUUUCCUCCAUUGAAGCUCCCUUGAACAUAAUCAACUUCUUUAAUGAAGUGCUCUUCCUCCGGUGCGAAAUCGGGAGCAAGGGAUUGGCAAGUAGAGGUGGCAUGCCCUUCGUUCCCAUAACAUUCACAAACAAAGAGUUGCACAACCAGUUGAUUCACCUUUGGUUCUUGUACCUCUUUCUUUUGAGGUGGAGUGGCGGUUGGUCUCACCACCGGUUGAGCCAAGGCAAGUGCUUUGAUUUGAGCCGCCAUGCCAUCCAUCCUUGAUAGCAUCAAGUGAACAAGAUGGUUGGGAUCUUCCUCCUUAUGUCCCGGCAUCUCCUUAAGGACCUUUGGAGCUUGAGUGCGAGUACAAACAUAAGGAUCUAUGCUCACCACCUUAGCUUCUAUAGGACCUUGUUGCCUAGACCAACUCUUCAUCUUCACCGCCAUUUCCCGGAAGACUUGAAGCCAUCAUUUGGCGAGGAGUGAUCUCAAGUCUCCUCCCGCCGCUUGAUUGGUCAUCUUGGUGUCCUCAUAAGUGAGUCCUCAUAAGUGAGUCCUCUAGCAAAGGUCUCCGCGAGUUUCCACUCAUUGAAGUUGAAGUUGUGAUGAGGGCAAGAGUAGAGAAGGGCUUGGGACCUCUCCCAAGCUUCAAAGAAUGGCUCUCCAUUAAUUUUCUCAAAGUUGGAGAUUCUACUUUGGAUCUCAUCCGUCUUGUAAGGCAGGAAGAAUUCCUCCAAGAAGGCCUUUGCUAGAUUGUCCCAAGCUUGGAAGGUAUUGUUUCGUUGGUUGUCGAGCCAUUGAUUUGCCUUCCAUUGGAGUGAGAAGGGAAGAGUCGGAGUUGAAUGGCUUCUUGCGACACAUGAUUGAACUUCAUUAGAUCCAUGAUCUCGAGAUAGCUACUUGGACAUUCGUGCUCGUGCCCAUGGUAUACGUUUUGUUGCACCAUUUGAAUGUAGUUGAACUUCAACUCGAAGUUCCGGUUAUCAAUAAGGGGUGGAGCACACUUGAAGAAGUACCUUCAAGAGUUGGCUUAGGUAAUCACCUAGAGUUCUUUGAGGUUCUUGAGCCAUCUCAAAGAUGUUAACAAAUUCAUCAGCCUCUCCUUUGCAAGAUGAAACAAUUGAUGAGUGAUCCAGGGUUGUUAAAGAAGUUGCGAUGUGAGGUGGUGGUGGUGCUUGAGGUGGAGAUGAGAUGAAUCUCUUUGGUAGACGCCUUGUACGCUUCAAUCUUCUCAUGCACUAAUAGUGCAUGAACGGAACCUACACAACAAAGCAAACAACCAAGGGAACACAACAAAGGAAUAAACACACAAGAAGGGGGUAGCAAUAAGUAAAAUGGAUUAGGUAGAAUGCCUAAAUCGGUGUCUAAUCUACUCUUUCAAGGGGGUGAUUACACUCCCCAACAAUGGCGCGAUUUUGAUCCUCUAAAAAAGAACCAAACAAACAUGAUCGGCUAAGAAAAGGGACUAAUCCCAAACCCAAGGUCUCAAGUGACAAUUUUCACGAGGAACAGACCACCAACCCUAUACUCAACUAUUAAAGACACGGUUUAAGCUCACAAAAGUUCAAAAUGCUAGUUCCUUAAAUUAUCCACUAAAGUACAUAUCAUUCACAAGAGUAAUUGGAACUAAAUUAAGCUAACGAACUAAGCAAACAAGAUACUAAAGAGGGUGAACACAAGGAGAGGAGGGUUGCUAGAUUUCGGGUGUUGUUUUUGCACUCAAAUCCGAUUCAAAAGAAAUAUUGGCCACACUGGAAAAAAGUUAUGGUUUGACCAUCCUCUAAACAUUCGUAGCAGUGUAAUUCAAGGUCUUAAAUUGGACUACCACUACCAAUUGGCAAGUGAGCAAGCCAAUUGGUAGUGAACACCAAGUGUUCAACAAAAUUCUUAGAUGCUAAAAGACUUACUGGCAUCACAAACACUUGACAAGGGUGCUAAGUCACUAUUUGACACCCCCUAACAUUCCAAUCGCCUAAAUUGUCACUACCUAAGUGAUUACCAAAAUGCACUCAAGGUGUUCGAUAAAAUGCCACUAAGAGAAUCCUCACACUAAAGGUUGAAUUGGGGUGUGUGCUUGGUCCACACACCCUUAAUCCAAUCUUGGACUACACACUUACUCAAGUCAAGCACAAUUAAGUAAUUGAAAGAGUGCAUUUGACCUAGAACAAGCCAUAGCACAUUCUAAGUUGCAAUAACCAUAGUCCAACCAUUCUCAAAUACCAUAAUCCAUAUCCAACAUGUAUCCAAACUCUCAUCAUGAGGGGAUCAUCCUAGUACAUAGCAAUACCCUAAUCUAACAACUAAAGAGUCUAGCCACUCAUCAUGACACUAAAACUAAAGAAAAGGGAUACAAUCACCAUCAAACAACUAGAAUGAAGAAGAUGAUGAGGGUAGGAUCCUUCCUCCAAGCUCUACUAUUACAAUUCCUUCAAUCCUUGGUCUUCUCUAGCUCCCAAGCUUCUUCAAGGUCUUCAAUUGACCUUUUAAGGCUUCAAAUUGGGGGAAAAUCGAGAGAGGAGUCAUAUCAUCAUACAUCUUAAUAUUAUCUCUAAUUGGGACCACCUCAAUAUUAUCUGCAACAAUCUCAUCCUCAGUGUCAACCUCUAUGGCAAGUAGCUGUUGUAACUCCGUUUCUGAAGAUGAUGCAACCACUCCACUAGAGGAGGCAUCACAAUGAACAGCAAACCUACAUGAACAAACUCUAUACGAUUGAGGUUACCAAACAAAUCACCCCACACUUAUCUUUUGCAUAAACCAAUAUGCAUUAAUCAAGCUGUAGAAAAAGAGAAGAGUGGGCUUAGAAGCAACUAUUGAACAUCUCAUCCAAAUAGGAAAUCUGUCAUAAUAAAGAAUACUCAACAUCAUUAAGGCAAUCCACGUAAGGUUUAGGGCACUUAGAAACUAUCCACAAAGUCACACAAACAAUGUAAGACAUGUAAAAUUUCAUAAAUUCUUAACCCAGAAAAAUACCGAGCAAAACUCAACAUUCCUAUGACACCUAAUCAUAUAAUUUCAAAGUGCAAAGGAUGUCAUUAACAUCCUAUAUCAUACCCAAUUGAAUUCUAGCAUCAUCAAUUUCACAAAACCUCAUAUUUGAAAUUUCAAGUUCUUCAAGCUAAUCAUCAAUCUCAACAAUUUAACCAAUCAGGGCAAAGUGAACAAGGAGAAACUGGGCAAAAUUCAAUGUAAACUAGCUCAAAACUCACUCAAAGUUGAUGAAAAACGAAGGGGGGAGAUUGGGGGAGGGUUCGGCGGUGACCGACAACGGUUCUAUGGUGACAGGAGUGCGGAGUUUUGAAUGACGGCAAAGGGGUAGGAGGGUGGAGUCGGCGUCAGUGGAAUGUUUGAAAAAAAUAUGGUUCAAAAAUCGGCUAAGGCUAGAAUAUUUAGAAACCCGUGUCAACUAUUGCAUUGUAGAAGUGUCAAAAAUGCGGUAUGGACAUAGCGCAAUGUUUGACAAAUCAUAGCGCAAUGAUUGAAAGGAUUUCCAGAACUCAAUGUCAACAUUUUUUCUAUAGAUGGUCAAUUAUUGCGCUAUGGGCAUAGCACAAUGCUUGACACAGAUCCAUAGCACAAAGGUUGACAUCCUAUUAUGUGAACUUCCAUAGUUCAUGAAAGAAUCAACACUCUUUGCAUUGACGACUGGGGACAAGAAUGACACUCAAGUAUCACGUUCUAGACUCGAUCUAACUCCUACACAUGCAAAUUGACUCAAAGAAUAUGAAAAAUACUGACUCCAGACAUGGGCUUCCUUCCAUGAAGCGCUCUUUCUUUAACGUCUUUGAGCUAGAUGAUACAAGGACCUCAAUUUAGCAUCUUCAAAGUAAUGAACUUUUACUCCAUCGGUAGGCUUGGUACUGAGAUAUAGCUUGAGACGUUGACCGCUGAAUUUAAUGUUCCUUGGUCCGGAUGUGUGAUCUCCACAAAUCGGUAGGGAAAUGAUUGUGUGACUUCAUAAGGUCCCGACCAUCUUGAUUGUAAUUUUCCCAAAAAUAGUCAGAGCUGGGAGUUGUAGAGCAGCACCUUAUCUCCCUACUUGAAUUCUUUGACCCCUUGAAUAUUAGCAUCGUCGAUUCGUUUCAUCCUUUCCUUAUAUAUACAUGAGCUCUCGUAAGUAUGAAACAUGUGCUCCUCUAGCUCAAGGAGCUAAUAUUUGCAUUCUGAAGCUACGAGACUAUCAUCCAUGUUUAGCAGCUUCAUGGCCCACCAUGCAUUAUGCUCAAGCUCGACCGGUAAAUGAUAAGCCUUUCCAUAAACGAAUCGAUACGGGAAAGUGUAGAUAGGGAUCUUGAAGGCGGUUCGGUAAGCCCAUAGAGCUUCAUCGAGCCAAAUCGACCUGUCCUUAUGAGACUGAUCGACUGUGCUAUCAAGAAUCUGCUUAAGCUCACGAUUCUUCACCUCCACUUGACCGCUUGCAUGUGGAUGGUAAGCGGUCAUCAAUCAAGGAGCUAUGCUAAAUGUUUGGCAAACUCAAUAGAAUUGACCCUGAAAGUGAGUGACUUUAUCGCUAAUGAUAGCAUGAAGGCCGCUGAAACGCAUGAAAACGCAUGUAAUAAACUUUCCCACUGUCAGAACAUAGUUAGUAGACAGCGGUUGCGCCUCUGCCCACUUUGAGACAUAAUCCACUUUGAAAUGUUACAUGUACGUUGGCAGUUGAUUUUGGGCUUUAAUCUGAAUUCUGUGAAUUUUGGAAAUUGGCUGAUCAAUGGACAGUCACAGGCAUGACAGUCAGUCUAUCACGGGAAAGGUUGUCAGACAGACCACGACCGUUGUCAGCAAACAUUCAUGGGCGUGACCACUGGAAGAUCAAGGGCUUGACCAUCAGGAGGUCAUGGUUGUGACCAUCAGUAGGUCACGGGCAUGGUUUCUAUGUGGCCACGGGUAUGGUGGUAAGUUGGACAUGGGCGUGGUGGACUUAUUAUAUAAGGACAGUUGCAACUUACAACUCAGAAUUACUGAAACCUAAGAACUUUGAAUCCCUCUGCAAAUGGCAAUCAAUUUCAGGAGAUGGAGAAAUCCCAUUUGAUCUAAUCCCAAAUCAUUAGGAAAGGUCUAGAAAUCGUUGAGGAUGCUUCCAAAGCUACUCAAUCUUCUUCCUCCUUUCUCAAUCCUUGAUUGGAAAUCCUACGUAGGAAAUUCCUGACACAUUAGGAUUUGGGGUUUUCAGAUUUCAAUCCUAUGAAUUAAUCUCUACGGGUCAGACAGAACAUGAGGCUUGAUCUUGGGAAGGUAGCUUCAUAUUAGACUCUACUAGGAAAGCUAAUCAGAGGUGGGGGGUUAGGAUUUCUUUUCUGCUUUAAGUGUAGAACUGUAAUUAGGAUUGUCAGGAAUCCGAUUAUUAGAUUCUCAGACUGUGUAGUAGCAUAUGAUUUAUUGUACAUGUGUUGUGAUUUGAAGGGCUCUCAAGACUGUGCAAUAGCGUGUGAUCUACUGUACAUGUAUUACGAUUUUUAGAGCCAAGCUCUUAGUAUUGUGCAGUAACGUGUGAUCUACUGUACAUGGGUUGUGAAACAGAGCCAGGCUCUCAGACUAUGUAGUAGCGUGUAAUCUACUGUACAUGCAGUUGUUUAAUUUCGAGCAUAAGCUCAUGGUGAUUAAACUAUGCUUGUGAUUCACAGUUCAUGUUAGGACAGGAUCAUGUUUAGCUAGAUUAGCUCUCGAUAUGCAUUGGUCACCCGCCCAUGGAUUGCGCAAUCCCUUAGGUCAUGUUCAGGCUCAUGUUGGACGUGUCGAGUAUGCCUAUAGAUGCUGCUCACACGGUUUUCAGGAUGGUUUCAUAGUUUGAUCCACCAUGAGGCUAUCUACCAUAGCUAGGGGUGGUUGUUGUCAAGAUGAUGCCUACAACCUGUGAGUAAUGCAUGGGUCGAACCAUGUAGUUCGAUUGGGUCUUCUAGGGGCGUGUUUCACGGUAAUCUUCUAUAUAUGUCCCGAAAGCAAGGAUGGUGGCUAUCUCGGUAAACCACUAGCGCUUGUAGAGGUGAUGAUCCGAGACUUCCUUUGCUUCUUCCAAGAGAAAUAAUUGAUCAUCCAGAAAGAGCUCAUUUAUCUCUGCUUCAGCGAAUCGACCCAGAGAAGGCCCUUCAAGGUGCGAUAGGUGGUUAGCUGCAACGUUCUCUGAUCUCGCCUUGCCCUUAAUAGUCAUGUCAAACUCUUGAAGGAGUAGCACCUAGUGAAUCAAUCUCAAGUUCCCAUCCUGUUUAGCUAUAAGAUACUUAAGAGCAAAAUGGUCGCCGGAAUCUGGGCAGAGGUCGCCAGCGGUAACGGCCUCACUAGAGAAGAAGGGUGACCUCCCCACAAUCAUGAGGAGUUCAGUGACCAGAUCUGCAAAGUCUGAAAGAUAAGUUGCUGUUGUGCAUUUGAAUAUUCUAAAGUCUAGCUUCCGUAGCUCUGAAGUUUUGGAUGGUUUACAGUUAUGGACCUUGGUCAGAUUUUUUAUCAUUUGGAAGUUCUAGAUCAGUUAGUGUAAUGGAGGUCAUUAGAGGACUAGAGUAACAUUUAUGUCCUUAAAAUUUUCAGAUUAUUGCAAAUAAGUAAAUGGAGAAGAACUCGGUCGUUUGAGCUCCAAAUGACGCACGGUUAGAACUUACGGAUUUAUGGCAACGAGAGAAAUCAUGCCAAGUUAGGAUCAAAGGUGUCAGAUCUUCUUAACAGGUGGGGGUUUAGGAUUACAUUCUGCUUAUAAGCUUAGAACUAUAAUAGGAUGUUAGGGAAUCCGAUUAUUGGAUUCUUCAUGUGAUUCAGAGCAAGGGCUCUCAGGAUUGUACAAUAGCGUGUGAUCUACUGUAUAAAUGUUGUGAUGUGAUUCGGAGCAAGUGCUCUCGGACUAUAUAGUAGCGCAUAAUCUACUCUAUAGAUGUUGUGAUGUGCUUUGGAGUGUGGGCUCUUAGGCUGUACAAUAGCGUGUGAUCUACAGUAGAGGCAAUUAUUAUAAUUCGAGCAUAAGCUCUUGGCGUUUGGACUGUGGCAUGUGAUUCACAGUUCAUGUUAGGAUAGGAUAGGCCUAGAUAGACUAGGUCACAAUUAUGAUACGUCGGGCACCCACCCAUGGAUUGCACAAUCCCCCAUGUUAUAAUCGGGCUCAGGCAGGACGUGUUGAGUAUGCAUACUGAUGCUGCUCAUACGGUAUUCAGAGUGGUUUUAUGGUCUGAUCUACCGUGAGGUCAUCCACAUAGCUAGGGGUGGCUGAUGUUAUGUUGAUGCCUACUGGACCAGAUGGUCACAUUACUAGAGUAGUGACUACAUAGAAUUCCAUGUUCUAUUCUUAGUACAGGUCAGUUUCAAUCUCAGUUCUACGCGAGUCCAGAUAGCCACUUAGUGUUUAUCACUAACUCUAUUAGAUAUUAUUUUCUCUGGUGUAUAUGUGUGUUCGGUCACAAGAACUGGAGCUGAUGGUGGGGAGAGAGCUAGUCGGAGUUUUGAUAUCACAUGAUAUAUGUUUUGAUGUAUUUUCAGUACUAGAGUUGCAUCUCCUUUUAUCAUGUUGUGAUUUGGGAUCCGAGAUCCUUGUUGGUCAAUUUUAUCAAAGUAUUUCGGUUCAACUUUUAAUGCUUGUUUUUGCUCAUUUAUUAGUAGUAGAGAGUAGAGGUUGGUUCAGCUUGGAACCCGAUAAGAUUUCUUGAUUGAACCAGUGGUUCGACCAAAACUCUUAGGGUGGGGUUUCAGAGAAAAUGUGAUAGUGAAAUAUACAUUUCCCAAAAAAAUUCAUCUUCCCACCGAUAAGUUUUGGCUAUUUUCGUAUUUUCAUAAUUACCUUUAUUUUAGAUUGUAUGAUUCAAUUCAUUACCAAUUGUCAGAUUAUGUUGUGACAUCAUCAUUUCUAUCAAACGAACAACAUUGGCUCCAUUUAUAGGAUUUUAUCUAUUGCAUAUAAGACUAUUGGAUCCAUUUUGAUUUGUAAAAGUGGGUCCUACUUCCAUCUCAUUUUGUUUUGAAAUUUUGCAUACUUCACUUUGAAAGGCUUCUCAUUAAUGCAAUUCAAAAACAUUUGCAAAAGUGGACUUACAUGAAUAAAAUGAUCAUUUCUUAUAUAUUAUUUUAUUAGCAAAUAAUGAUAUGAGAAGGCCCAAUCCAUUGGGUCUUGAUCAGAAUGGCACAACCUAUUAAAAAUACCUAUUUUGGCAUAACAUAAUUAUAAUUUUACAAAAUAAAAUAUUUAAUUGACUUUUUAAAACUCAAUACAAAAAACUAAAAAAAUAUCAAAGUUCAUCAUAUUCUUCUCCCACCACCAUCCUAUCUCCACUAUCUUCUUAUCAUCCCCAUCAUCCAUUGCUAAACCCAACAAUUACUUUCUCUAAAUCUAUCACUUACCAAAUCCAAAAUCAUAUUCAUUUGUACACACAACCAAGUAUGCAAAUUUUAGAUAUGAUUUGUGUUGGUUUUUUAGAUCUGAUUUUGUCGAUCUCGAAGGUGAAGAUGAUUGACGACGGGGAAGGGGACUCUAAUACCCAAAUAUGCUACUGGAGAAUAAUCCAUCUUUCCAGACUAUUGCAAUUCAUACCGCUCCUUGAAUACUUACAGAGAAAGACGGCGCAUCGAGCUCAAAAGGAGAGGGUAGCGAGCAAUCGAAGGAGAGUAGAAAAAGCCGUUGCAAGCAAAAGAGAAAUCGACCACCAGAUCUCCUAGGAUUCCUCAUCUGAGGAAGCCAUCAAGAGAUUUUUUCCUAUAAGUCAGUUCAGCUACUAAAGCUACAAGUGGUGAUGAUGAAUAAGCUUCCAUAAGUGGUUCGCUGGGUAUCUCUACUUUGACCUCCUUCAUGGGAGCUCCGUCGUCGCCGCUGGCGACCCUAAAAAAGAACAUGCAUUUAAACGCGUUUACACACUAAACUAAAAAGGAGAAUGAAAGACUAUAAUUGGAAUUUCAACAACAAGAGAAAGUUAACUUCUUUUUUCUAAUCCACCGUCGGGAGGAGCAGCAGCAAGCUUCGCCCGUCUUCUUCCCUUUUGGGAUUUUUUUGAAUUAAUUAAGAAUUUUAUUAAUUAGAAGUUUAAAAUUAUAUGAUGUGGAGCCUAUAUUGAAGUCAAGUGGGAGGUACGUCAGGGGUGUUAAGUUUGACUGUUAAGUUGAUGGUCAAAUUUCAAAUAUGUGCCACAAUAAGUAUUUCUAAUAGGUUAUGCCAUUCUGGGUUUAGACCCAAUAGGUUGGGCCUCCUUAGAUCAUUAUUCAUUUUAUUAACUACAUAUAUGUUAUAAAAAUGUAUAAGUGACAAGUGGGUCUCAAAUGAUUAAAAAAUAUAAAUGAAAAAAUGGGCCACAAGUGAGAUUAUCACUUUGACUUGGAACGAGUACAAAUUUGCACUUAAAAUGAUCCUUUCCCAUCAAUAAUAUUCUCAUUUAAAUUUAAAAAUUGCCACAUAGGCUCCAUGUUACUUAACAAGUAGGGAAAAUCUCAGUGAUAAGAUGCUAUAAUAACAAAUAAUCUUGAGGCCAAAUCCAAUAACUGAGCAUGCCUUCUACAUGUCGGACUCCACCAUAUAAACACGGCCCACGUUAUAAUUGAUUCAUUAAAAAAAAGAAACAAUUUGAUGAAUUGAUGAAAGAAGCGAAAGGCAAAAGAUGGAAAUUGUCGUUUCUCUUCCUAAAACUAGGGUUUUGUUUCUCUCACUAAAAUUAGGGUAUCUCUUCGUCAUGAAGACUUCCUACACCCCCAUCGCCAUCAUGCUCAAGCACAAACCUACUCCUAUCAUCAACAAACCCAUCCCACCUACCGAUGUUGUCAUCAAAACAAGACCGACCCUUACUGCACCCAUGGCCUCCCUAUCGUUGAAGGAGAGUCAUGGCUCGGAGGACCUGACCGGAAUGACAUGGCUGACGAUUGGAUACCAGAGCUGCAGCAAUCUGGAAAGCCCCACAAAGAUUCUCCGCCGACAAAGACCAGCAGGUCAACACUAAGGAGAGGCGGUGUUCCUCCGAUCUUCGAGCUACAGGGGAGCGAGACGACUCUACCCCAUACACCAUAGUGACAUCGCCGGUGUGGACAUCCGAUCAUUCCAUUCAAAGCUCAUGAAGAUCGGCUACACUUGUGUUUGGCUUUCUUUAUUUUUGUUUAGUACUCUCUUUUUAGACAUUUGGUUGAUUUUCAGUCGUACGUUGCACUUCAUUUGUUUCCUUCCUUGAGUCGGGGUAUAGUUUUGUUAAUUUUUUUGUUUAUUUCGUUGCAUCUAAAACCGUUGAUGGUCGAAGAGAUUAAAACUGUAAAUAAAAUAUUCAAUUACCUACUUUCCCCUUACAUCUUUUCUAAAAAACAACUCUCAAUUGCAUUUCUCAUGGUCAAUGUUAUAUCACGCCUCCCUCUAUAAAGAAAUUAUAUUUUGUAAAAAAAAAAAGCGAAAGGCAAAAGAUAUCGCGAGACCUAGUUCUAUAUAAACCCAUUCCAUUCGCAGGUUACGAGCGGCCGUCAUCGCUGUCACAGGGCCAGAUAUGGGAAGCGCUAAAGCUGGCAAACCCUCAAAGAAGUCUCUCAGAAACCCUAAUCCGCUUCGCAUUACCCAUAGGAAGAUUACGAAGCACAAACGGCAAGACAUUGCUGUUGAUACAGUUCCCACCGCCCUGAAGUAGAAACACAACCUCAUAUCGGAGAAGAGGAGCCCCUUCCUUCAGCUUCCCAGCAACUCAGCUUUUUCCUCAGCAAGUUCCAGUCAGCUAAUGGUCUUCAAGGUUAGUCUCUACCGCUGGAGCUCCACAAUAUUGUAUCCCAUGACAUCUCUAUUUGGUUGCUGGACAGAGGGAUUAUUAACAAUUUGUGUAUUGUAUUUGCAGAAACAUCCUUUAUUCAGUUAUUUUGAGAGCUGCCUCAGGAUGUUGAGGGCCUAGGCCAGCAUUUGAAGACUGCUUUCGGAAAGUCAUGGAAAGAAGAACGCUGUGAUCGAAAGCUCGUGGAUAGGUAAACUGAACCAGAGAGUCCUGCUGCUCUUUUCAUUUCUACAUCUGCAUUGAGAGCAAUAGAACUUUUAAGGUAUAGAUUCUCUCAGUUCUUGUUAAUGAUCUUUGUUUUGCUCGAUUUAAUCAGGGUUUGGGCUUGAUUCAAUCUUCUUCUUUUAGGGGUGUGCGUUCACUGAGCGUUCACUGACGAAAGAAUGCCAUGCUGCAAAGCUCUUCUCUAAGCACAUGAAGGUUGAAGAACAUGUGAUAUCCUUUCCCUUUUGUCACUUGUUGUUCCUAUUACAUCGUUAAACAAAAUACUAUCUCUUUAUGUUUCGAGGUGUUGUCAUUUGUUUUGGAUAUCAUUCAGUUCCUUUUAUUAUUACUGCUGCUCGAGUUACGAACAUCUGAGGAAAUAGCAAUGCUUAGGAUGUUAUUGUCCACUUCACUGUCUCGAGACACCGACAUUGUCUUUAGUUAUUAUUUAUGGGUCCAACAAGUUAUGACUUGAACCAUGGUCACAUGGAACAAAAUUAAUUUAUAAAUUCGGACUUCUGUUUCAUCAGUGACAUUUUCACUCUUCGUCAUCAUAUACAUUUGGUGUUUGUUUGUUUUUGGUAAAAGGAUUUGAUAUUACCAGUUAUAAAGAUCAAAGGGCAGUAGCAGUGCAGGAUAAGCUUUUUUCACAUCAGUCUGCUUCUAGUUCAGUAUCUUAGUUUCAAUGAUUUAUGGCUGGAAGCAUGGAGCAGUAUGGAAUUUUUGCAAACAAUUGUUGGAUUAGGAAUUUCAUACUUCUUUUCACUGCAUUUUGAUGUUGGGAUAUGAUGAGUUACACGGAUCAAAUGCUCUAGCAGUGCUGAAUAUGUUUUUUGCACGUCAGUCUGAUCCCAACUUACCGUAUUUUUACUGCCCCUACCUUUAAAUGCAUGUCCGAGUUCUAACAAUAGAUGACUUGAGACAUGGAGCCUAUGAAUGGGGGUUCUCUGUUUGAUUUUAUGACAUUUUACAAUAAUUGUCACAAAUUUUUUUGACAUUGGAUAUGAUGAUGAGUUAGAAUCAAAGGCACUAGAGAUGCUGAAUAUGAUUUUUUGCACGUCAGUCUGAUCCCAGCCUUUCGAUUUCUGAUUACUGGAAUUUAAAAUUUUACUUUGUUUUCGUCAUUUUGACAUUGGGAUAUGAUGAUGAGAUGUAGAUCAAAGGCAUUAGCGGUGCUGAAUGUUUAUUUUGCACGUCAGUCUGAUCCCAGCUCACUGUUCCGAGAUUGUGCUGCCUUCUUGCAUUUCCUAGUUAAAAAAAUGUACUCCUUGGACAUGGAUCUAAACGAACUUCAAAAUAUGAAUGAUUAAGAUUUCGUGAUCAGUGUCAUUCAUAGUUUAUGAUCACUAAUUUAAAUCUCGUGGCAUAUCUUGCAGGGUGUUUAUAGCCAAUUAGAUGCCACACUCACUGAAAGCUUAACUUACGAUUUAGGUUCUGGUUGUGUAUCCCCCCCCCUGUCCACCGCCUUUAACCUUGUACUUCUAAGCAAUUGAUUGUAUUUCCUGAAUAAUGGCUACAUAUUUCGUAAUUGUUCAUGCUCUGCUGAUUAUAUUUUUGCACGUCUCUGUUCCUAAUAAAACUGCACACUAUUUUACGAAAAAAGACGUGCACGCUAAUAUCGUACACCAAUGUAAUAUAACACUAUUAACAACAAAAAGUUCUUAGUACGGGUUCAAUGUCAUCAUGCAACAUCCAUGAUGCCGUUCCUUAGUCUCUCUACGUGACUCUGUGUUGCAUUUGGUAAACUAUUUCUUAAACUUCUGGCUCCGUUUACUGCAGGUCACUUUCUUCAAGAAUCGUGUCAAUAUUGCCAGCGGCACACCAAACAGGUUAGUCACCAGUCAUUUCAUCUCGAUAUUGAUGUUACAAUGGGUCGUUUGGAUGAGGUAUUUGAAAGUGGUAUUUUGGCUCAAGUAACUCAAACUAAAGUUAUAACUGAGUUAUUUGGGCCAAAACACUUCGUUUUCCAUCCGAAAUAAAAGUCGUUAUAUUUCAUAACUGUGAUAUUUGAAAUAAUUAUGGAUGUGAUAUUUGAAAUAACUCAAUUUAAAACCAUAACUCAAAAUGAUAGCUAAACGAAUAAUUCUUAUCCCCCAAAUUCUUACAACUGAUCCAAACGAUUAAUGUUUACUUGCUCAUCCUUUUCGUUCUAGCUGAAUAUUUGCAUUUCCGAAAUAAUGCGCCCCACAUGAGUUCGGUAUACAUUGGUGAUUGCUUUUGCAAGUUUUCCGUGCAUGAAUUGUUGUGGUAUUCAUCAGAAAAUUACCAAUAGGAAAUAGUUAAGAGGUCGUAGAAAAUGCAUCGGGAGUGUCAUUUUAUAUUGUAGGGGCAAAAAUUGAUUUUGAUGAAUUUGAACUUUCUUGACUAGAUUCUUGAUAAAAAAAACUAUCUUGACUAGGUUGAAGAAGUUGAUAGAUAUAAAAGCAAUGGGGCUCUCGCGGUUUUAAAGUUAUCGUGCUAGAUGUCCACCAUGAUGUAAAGGGUUAUUCCUUGCUCACACUUCCACAAGGGGGAGAUAUAGAGAGAAUGUCCGGUCUCUUUUCAACACAGCGAGGAGCAUAGUCGAUUUUGUCAUGUGAAGAGUUGCUGUUGUACAAGUGUUAGUUUGUUAUUUUGACAGGACACUUUUUCAAUUAUUCAAAACUUAUAUUCUAGCUAAGCUAAGGGUAAAUAUCCAUUUUGUAAUUUCACUUGUUGCUGCUUCUACCAAGAGACAGCACACAAGGAAUUAUACUCAUCGGCUUCCUGGCCGCAAUUGAGUUAAAUCUUCUUUUCGGCCCCUAGCGUUUAAAAUAAAAUAAAUCUUUCACCGGCUACCUUCAAAAUCCUCUGUUUAUCUUUCCUUUGAUCUUAUCAAAUUUUUAUAGUGACAAAGUUUGUGAAAUUACUUAAUAAAAAAAAGAAAAAAUUAUUAAACAAUUGCUAAUAUUUAGGCCCGACAUUCGAUAUAGCACAUGUUUUUUAUAAUAUUUUUUUUUGCCCAAAUUUCAAAUUAUGUUAAUUCCUUUAAGUUAAAAUUAACGGAUUGGUGACAAAUGCUGACAAGGCAAACAAUGUGUCUGAUGUGGAUGGAUGAAAAGAAGUCAAUCGGAAAUAAAUACACAGUCAACAUACAGUUAAAAAAUUUUAUAACAAAAACCACCCACAUUCCUUAUCCUCUUCGUCGACCAGCCUUUUAUCACCCACCUGUCACCUCCCUUCUAAAUUAAUUUUCAUCAGAUGGGGAGAAAGAGUGGAAGAAGAAGAAGAAGAAAGAAAGAUGGAGCAAGGUGCAUUUGAUUUGAAUCCCGACAAUGUCGACAACAAUCUUGUAUCUAAAUUCUUUGUCGAUUUGAAUUUCGAUGAUGCCAACAACAACCUCAUUCUUGAACUCUCCGUCGAUUUGAAUCCCGACGAUCCCAUCAACAACACCAUUCCUGAACUCUUCGACAAUUUGAAUCCCGACGAUGCUGAUAACAACCUCAUACCUGAAUUCUCCGUUGAUUGAAUCUCAAUGAUGCCAACAACGACUCUCUAUCGUUGUCGAUGAAAUGCCCAAGCUUGUGGAGAGAUGGAUACAGGGAGUAGUAGCAGGUACAUGUCCAAAUAUGGAUGUUGAGAAAUCCUCCUCGGCUGUCGAUUUCGAAUGGUCCCCACGUUUCAAAUUGAUUUUAGUGUUCUUGCUGGGAGUAGGUUUGCACGCGGCUGAGAUUGGGUUUAUCUGUUUGUUGCAAAUGAAUGAAUUGAAUUGGUUGGUUUUUUAUUGGGGGUGGGUUUUGCAAGCAAGUUGAGUUGUUUGAUUGGUUUGAAGUUUUUUUUGUCUUGAUUGGGUUUUGUAAAAAAUGCUAGCAGAAUACUGACAAUGGAGGAGAAGGUGGAGGAAGGAAAAAGAAGGUGGAGGAGAUGAAUGAUUUUUUUGGUAGCUGAGUUAUUAUUAUUUAAUGAAAGGAGGUAAAUAAAAUUUACCUAACUAAGCUGACGUGACCAGUGAUUGUUAUGUGGCGUCGGACAUGGUAUCUUGAUGAUUUUCUUCUUACGGCGUUUCGUGUUUGGUUAACUAUAACGGUCAACGACAAAGUCAACUGAUUUUCGUUAGUGUGAUUUGAAUUUUGUCAGAAAAAAAUGUAUUUCGGAAAACAUGUGCCAGAUCAUUUGUCGGGUUAAAACAUUGCCAAUUGUGUUAGCUAAUUUUUCCUAAAAUAAGUUAGUGACAUUUUAUCAAGUCGAUCUACACUACAGGAAACUAGAUGUUUAACAACAUCAUUUUUUCUUGUUGACGACAACCAUUUCCUGUUGUUAUGUAUCAUAACGGCGGCUUUGAUUGCGCUAUUAAGAUUGCCAAUGCAAAGAGAUCCUACCAGCGAAAUAUUGGCCGCGGUUAAGUGGGGAAGCGUAACAGCGAAUAGCUGGCCGCUGUUAGGUUGCAUCCUAAUAGCGAAAUAUGACCGAUGUUAGACGAAAUUCUAAUAGUGGCAUUGUGUCCGUUGUAAGGAUUUCGCCUAACAGCAACUACAUAUCCUCAUAGUUUUCUUAUUAUUUUAUUUUUUUCGUUUGGCUAUUUUCCAUAUAUAUCCAACUUGUUCAAGUAAUUUUUUCGAUAGGUAGAUAGAAAUACAAAUUUGGGAAACACUUUGCUAAAUAUAAAACUAGUCAUUUUGAUUAAAUAUUUGAUUGUUAGGACACAUACUAAUUCCUUGGCUUAAACUACACCAUCCUUCUAAAGUAACUACUUGAUUCAUAGUUGUUCAUCCAACAUGUACAAUCCACUAAACAUAGACUACUCCUCUUGGUCGUAAUCAAGCUCAUCGUCCCUCUCAUUUGUUUCCAUCAUAGUGCUCGUUCACAUUUGUUUGCAUCAAAUGGCUGCCAUCAUACAUUUGGAUUUAGAACAUCUGCCUCAUCUCCUCCAAAUCAUGAGAUAAGCCAACUUGAGAGUUGGCAAGAUGAGCUAUACACCUACAAUACACCAAAUAAAAGUUAGUUUUUUUAUCCAAAAAAAUUUGCAUGACCAAUUCGAAUUCACGGUUUAACUUAUACUCUUUGAUCUACAAAAUGAACAAACGAUACUAGAUUUGGAAGGACAAGUUUCGACAGCUACAAUGAAUCAAGGAAACCUUUUACAUCUACAUUAUCAAAACAUAAUUGCAGAAUUAAAAGUAUAAACCAUGAGUAAGGUUGAAUGAUAAAAUUUUCACUAUUUAGAGGUGUCGGUUAAAAUGUGCAAAUUGGAUAAUAAAUUUGCAUGGGAAGGAUGAUUAUGUAGAUUACGUAAUAAACUAACAAAUACAUAUAUACUUAUGAUUUGAAUGGGACUUGUAAGUUAAAAUUGGAGGCGCCCCUCUUAAUUUGUACCUAUUGUAUGUUCACUAACCACCCAUAAUAAAAACAAGCAAGAAAAAUUGGAUUUGGUGGAUCACUCGAUGAAGAAACAAGAUUCGAAACUAGCCCUCAUAACUUGAUUAGGUGAAGUUUCUACCUAUAACAGUCCAACUUAGUGGUAGAAUUAAUUUAGGAUUAAUGCUGAAAAAUACAAAUACUUAUUCAUUUUGCUUUCACUCUAAAUCCUAAAUGGCGCACCACUGUUCCUGACUUCUCUUUUUUGUUCUUCGAACGUAUACGAUAUGCCCUCGCCAUAGCAUCCUCCUUGCUAACCCCAUGUUAGUAUUUGGUUCCUUCAUAAACUGUUUGACUUCAACCUAUAUUCAAUCUCAAAAUCUUAAAUAUAUUAGAAUUGCAUCUUAUCAACAAAAGGUCAAAACACAAUAAAAUUAUAUGCAACUUACAUAAAAGUCUCAAGUAACAUAUGUUUCAUCUUCUCUUUCAUAACACUUGAAAAAGAACUCAGAUCUUCUUACUUCUUUUCCUUUCGCUUUCUUCUACAUUAUACGUUCUACAAUCAAUACAAAUUAACUUCUCAUGACUUUUGGAACAUAAUAUAAAGACGAUUGAUGAGAUGCUUACUUACCAUCUCUUCACGAAUUAUAUUGAAAGGUUUUGACCCUUUCGUAUGAUAGAUGUCUUGAUUAGAACGAUACCUUGUUUCUUUGCAGAUGCAGUCUAUAAAACUGCUAGUAAUUGACAAAUGACAAUAAUAAAUAUCAUUAUAUCAAAUAUAAGUACAAAUGUAAAACUUACUAGAGUUGGCUUCCCCUCCUAUAUCUGCAAAACAUAUCCCACUCACGUUCAUCAAUAUUUGGUGGUUUCCUGUCUAAGUUGAGCUGAAGACCUUGAGUAGCAUCGAUAUUUGGUGGUUUCCUAUCACGUUCAUCGAUACUAAUCAAUUUUCUUUGGAUAUGACUAAUGUAAUGAAGAAGAUAGAAGAGAUUAAAUCUAAAACCCUUAUGAUUACCCUGCAUUCAUAAAGACUGCAAUGCAAUAUGUACAGAGAGGCGUGGACACAUAGCAAAGUCCUUACAAUUUUGACAAUUACCAUCCAAUACAAUUUUGUAAGCUACAGCUAACAUUCAUGAGCUAAUAAGUUUUGUCAGGUCGGUUACGAAAGAAAACACACUUAACUUCAUAAACAAUAAUAAAUUAUGAAAACCCCCAAAUCAAAGUUAGGGCUCAUCUAAAUCAUUAACAAAUCAUACAAACUGAUUUCAAUCUCAAAAUUAAACUUAGACCCAGCACUAUAAAUAAGAUGUCUAACCUAAAGCUAGAACAAAACACUUCCAAUUCACUAAACGGAAAACAUUUCAAAGAUCUAGAUUUUACUAACCUUUCAAUUUUCUUGCUAACACAAGAUGACUGAUUGAGAUGAUGGACAGGAACCAAAAUGAGCCGCAGCUGGAAGGCCGGAGCAAGCGACGCCGGCACGAAGAAGAAAAACGCCAGCGAACGGCCGUUGGUGAAGAUACUAUCUGGCUGUGUCCUUUGUUCAAUUUGGGGAAAGUUGGGUUUUUACGUGGUGUUGGGGGGUUAUAUGUAUUUGGAGUUUCGUUUAUAUUAAUAUAAUGAAGAAUUAAGUCUCAUUUUGUUUGGGGCUUUAAAUUAAUAACCCAACGUCGGCUUGAUUCUCUACAUAGCCGCUGAUAGGAUUACUCUUAGCAGCUGCCAUCUAAAUAAGAGCCACUGUUAAGUUGUUGUAUUCCAUCAUAUUUUUUAAUUAUUAUCCUAACAUCGGCCAAUAUUAAUCAGGGCCGAUGUUAGGUAGUAAUAACGUAUCAGUAGCCUUCCAUUUAUUGUUAGGAUAUUGACCUAACAUUGAGACCAUGUCCGUUGUUAAAUUUUGUAUGUUAAAAUAUCCUAACUGCAGGUCUAUGUGGCUACAGUUAAAUUGGCAAUAUUAGGUAGUCAGUUUCUUGUAAUGCUACCUUGUUUAUCAUAGAAAAUUUGUUAUGACAAACGUGAUUGUUGUUGUUACAUAACAACACUCUAAUUUUCCAUCUAUUUUUAAUUUUAAAAAUUUGACAGUCUUAAUUUGUUGAAUAUUUUUAAUCUUUUUUACAUUUUUAUCUCUCAUAAAUAUGUCCUAAUUUUUAGUUAAAGAAUCCUCAUUCAAUUUCUAUUUCUAUUUCUAUUUUUUUACCUAUAUUUAAUUAAGUUAAUAACUUAAUAUUUCCUUAAUUGCUUUUUACAGGUUGUCAACGGAGUUCUGGUACUCCCAACAAGUGAGAAGAACGAUCAGAUUAGUAACAGAGCACAAACAAAGGUACAAAAUAAAUUACCAUAUCACAGUCUCAGGUAUAUAACUCCAUACAAUAGCACAUUCAUGGGUACAUAACUAGACAAAAAUUAAUCAAAAAUUGAUACUUCAAUACACGAGGUAUAAAAUGCAGUACCAUAUCACAAACCCCUUUUUUUUUUUUUUUUUUUUUUUUUUUUUUUUUUUUUUUUUUUUUUUUUUUUUUUUUUUUUUUUUUUUUUUUUUUUUUUUUUUUUUUUUUUUUUUUUUUUUUUUUUUUUUUUUUUUUUUUUUUUUUUUUUUUUUUUUUUUUUUUUUUUUUUUUUUUUUUUUUUUUUUUUUUUUUUUUUUUUAUUUUUUUUCUUUUUUUUUUAUUGUCUGUUUUUUUCUUUUAUCCUGUUUUUCUUCCUUUUCAAGAUCUUGAAAAGAGAGAGAAAAUGAGAGAGAGAGAAUGAGAAAGAGAAAACGAGGGAAAGAGAAUGAGAGCAAGAGAGAGAGAGAGGAGGAGAAAUUUUUGGAGUUUUUUUAUUUUUAGUGGCUUUGAUAUUGAAAAUACUAUAUAAAGAAUUUUAGAUGAAAUCAGUCAGUUGAUACAAUUAUUGUUGUUAUGUGCUAUUAUCGUAUGAUAAGCGGGUGGGGCUUUUCUUGUUUUCGUAAACAUCAAGAUUUUAUUGGUUGGGUCUAUGAUUCCAGCCUACAUGAUACUCAAAAGGGCCCUGGUUCAUCUGGAAAUGAAAAGUGCUUUAUGAACGUUUGGAUUGGUGCUUCCUUGACUCGGUUUGGUAACUUCAAUUUCUACCCACCUAUAUCGUGUUAAGUCGGAUCACCGACCUAUUUUCAUGGUUGCGACCAAGCUCAAGAAGUCAAAUCUUCCUCAUACCUUUCGCUUUAUGGCUUCAUGGUUGUCACAUGUUGAGUUUAAGCCUUUUUUUGUCGGAAUGGAAUCGGUCUUUUACCUUUAUUCAUCAGAUGUCCAUUCGAGCUACCAAACUGAAAAAAUGAAAUAAGGAAAUUUUUGGCAACAUCCAAACGAAUAGAAGGAGCUUAUCUUUAAACUUGCUGAUGUUUAAGCUCUCGCAGCUCCUCUACUCAUUCAAGACACCACAAUGGACAUUGCAAGUGACCGGAAUACUCAUUUUUUUCACGUAUCCACCUUCCGUAGGCGUGCUCGGAACCACAUUAUUAAGUGAAGGAUGACUGUGGGGUGUGUAUUCAUUAGGUUUGGGAGUCGGUUAAUUUGGUUAAUAACCAUCGGUUAAUGGUCGGGAAGCGCUUUGAUGAUUGAAAUUAAUUAACCAAAUUAACCGACCGAGCAAAAGCCACGGUUAAUCUUACCGACCGAUAACCGACCAAUCAGUUAAAUGAUCGAUUAUUAACAGACUGACUCUCGGUUAACCGUUGUAACCGGCUCUGACCAAUUUAACUCUCUUCUCAUAUUGCAACAAGAUUCUAGGCUCUGGCUCUAGAUCCGUCGUCGAUUCAAGCCUUGGAGACCAUAGCUUCUCUUCUGGAAACAAUCCGGUGCUCUACAACUUGAUCCUUCGGGACUGGAAGCUUUCCGAGACGGCGUUGUUGCGGAUCAGUAAGGAGAGGAGGAAGCUUCAAGCCUAUGGUGUUGCAGAUCGAAGAAUUGAGAGAGUGGAGGAGGAGAGGAUUGGCCGUGGCGACGAAGGAAGCAUGUGGUGUUGCAGAUCGAAGAAUCGAGAGAGUGGAGGAGGAGAGGAGCGCUUGCGGUGACUCGUCGUGGUCGUCGUCGUGACUGCCGGCGAGAUGCUGAAAUUGAAUCGCUUGGAUUGAUAGAGUUGUCGAGAUGGAUUGAUGGAGUUGUCGAGAUGGAUUGAUGGAGAUGGCUCGGAGUUAACCUAAUUUCAGAAUGAGAGGUUGUGAUGGAGUGGGAGGCUGGGAGGGGAGGGAGCGAUUCUGCGAUUGUGGUGAGCAAAGCUUGAUUUCCUAAUUGGGGACCUUGGUUUUUUUAAUUACCGGUUAACGUUGGUUAACUCGAGUUAACCAACGAUUUUACCCUGCUCCAACAAGUACUCCCAACUGUUCCCCGACCGACCCCUACCUCGGUUAAACCGACACUCUAACCGAGUCGAUCAGUUCAUCUGUUUAACCUAUUAACCGAGACUGAUGGCCCACCCUUAGUAUUCAUCCAGCUUGUUGCUGCAAUUAGUGUCGUAUUGAUAUGGUUGAGAGAGGAUAAAAUAUGCUUGAUUUCAAGUUCUCCAACUUGAAAGGUUUAGCUGUUAAAAAUGUAGAGGUCAUGACUGAGUACUGAUUUCCAGCAAGGAGAAGUUGGAUAUUUGCUUGCGAUAAAAAAGAAUUUGGACAGUCUAUCUUAGGCACAAAAUCUAACGGAUGAGAUGGCAACUUUACUUCAGGGGCCUAUUGGUCAUUUUAAAAUUUUCUUGUUUUUCAGUUUAUUUUUCCAUUCUGUUUAAUAUUGGUUCAAGUAAAAUGAUUUCUUGUAAAUUGGGUCUAUUGAGUAACGUGGGUGGGUAGACUUUAUUGCUCCCAUCGAGCUUGACGUGAUAUUUUCUUCUUCGUUUCUUUAACAUGCAUAAAUUGUAUAUAAUACGAAAGGUUGGAAAUAUAUGUGAAGCUCGAGGUUUAUUAUAUAUGUUUCGAGGUUUAUUAUAUAUGUUGAACCUUUUUGCCAAUUGGUUAUUUUUAUCAUGUAGUGCCUUAUCAAGUAAAGGGAAUGGUUGUUUUUAUCUACUGUCACUAGCCAACUUUCUUUCUCAUGUGAUCAAUUAUUUGAUCACGCAUGAAUGACUACAGUACACAAAAGAUAGAAAUAUUAUAAAAACAAAAAACAAAUAUUAAAAAAAAAUACCUAAAAAGCAGGUACAUAACAACAAAAACAAUAACCGUAAAUAUCAAGUACAUGAAAGCGGAUGCUCAAAAUAAGCACGCACACAUUAAAAACUUUGGUACAUACAAGGCAAGAAAAUCGAGAACAUAUUGGAACUCGAGUACCGGAAUUGGUACGGUAUUAAGUACAACGUGAAGAAAUAUCAAGUACAUUAAAAAGCGAGUAUAUAACAAUAGAAAUAAGUACACGAAAACAACUCAGAGAAAUGAUAAUUUGAUUGCCAAAAUUGAGUAUGAUAAAGUAAAAUGCAAGCACGUAGUACAUGAAACAAAUAUGAGUAAGAGUACAUAAAUUUUUUAGUACAAUACAAGACAAAAACUCAAAUACAUAUAAAAACUGGACACUAAAAAAAAUAAUUAAUUAUUCACAAUUUUAAAUAAUAAUAGUCACGAUUUUUAUCAUGAUUAACAGAAGCUAGUCACGAAAAUAAAUCCGUAACUAACCUAACCGAUGCUAGAUGAACUUGUCACGAAUCUGAAUAACCUGUAACUAAGUUGUCACCGAAAUUUUCCGUGACCAACUCAUCACGGAAGAAACCGUGAACAUAUGUGUUUUUGUUUUUGUUUUUUAAAUUAGUGGCACGGAGCCAUAUGCUGUGAUAAUUGAUUUAUUAAUAAAUUAAUCCCACAUCUCCGUGGCUACUAUAUCACCAGAAUUUCCAGAUUCCGGCAACCACAAUUUCCAGAAUCCGGCAAUAAGAUAGAGUUGAUAAUUGCUUUUUUAUUAGAGUAAAAUGUUCUACAUCUAUACAUUAUGAUACCCAUAUCAAAAUUCCAGAAUCCCAAAAUUGAACAUAACGUCAACGAAAGGCACCAUGCAACAAUGGUGACACUAAGGGUUACAACAACCAGCAAAACCGAAACACAGACUGGAAAUGCUACCAAGAGAAGGAUGAGACUAGAUGAUGAGAUUGAGAUUGAGAGAAGAAAAAUGAUAGUAAGAAAUUUUGUUUUCGAGAGAGAUCAAAUGAAGAUGAGAUCUACUUCUAAUUUAAUAUAAUGGAAAUGGAGAUAUGGUUGUUUAAUGGCAAAGAGAGAAGAAAGGAAUAGCCCAUUAAACGAGGAUAGAGUCUGCAUCAUUUCUUUUUUCGACCUUUUCCCACUAAAAUGCUAAUUUUAAAAUUAUAAAUAAAAGUUGGUCACGGUUCCAACAUUUACCGUGAGUAGUUGGUCGCGGUAUUCAACAAUCCAUGACUAGUUAUGGAUUUUUUUUUAUCUAUAAGUAGUUAGUCAUGGUUUUUAAAGCCGUGAUUAAUAAAUCGUGAUUAAUCGUUGAUUUUUUUUGUAGUGCGAGUAUGAGUAUUGAGUAAAACGUCAUGUACAAAAACAAGUACAUCAAAAGCGAGUACAUAAUUAUCAAAACAAGUACUAAAACGAGAGGAAAAGUACAUAAAAAGCGAGUAUAUAAUAAUAGAAACAAGUGCAGUAAAAAUCAAGUGCAUGAAAGGAAAACGAAACUCAAACUAAACACUAAUACAAAAAAAACUUUAGUACGCAAAUAAGUAAAUACAAGAAAAUUAACAUACACAAACGAAUACAUAAGAGUAUAGUGUUUAAACAAAGCGAUUAUACGGAUCAAUACGAUGUUGAGUACAAAACAACAACUUGAGGCUUUAUCCCUCAUUUUUAGAUGAUUUUGUACUAAGUUCUUAUAUGUAUUAGUUUUUAUUAAUGUAAUCCCUCGUGUACUUUGUCUUUGGAUUUAUUUUUAUGCCAUAUCUAUUUAUUUACGCAUUUGUGUAUACUUAUAUUUUUAGAACUUUAUACUCAAAUCAAUUAAUCAAACAAUAAAACUAUUUUCUCUUU
rnacentral:lncRNA from 1 species